AUAUUGGUGUAAGUGGAAGGUAUCAAUCGUUCUAUCGGCAACCAACUAGUCUGAUGACUUUGUAUAGUAUUAUGUAAUAAUCGGGUCCAUUUUUUAUGUAUCGCCCGUUUGAUUGUUAUCAGGCCCGUCGUUCUGUCUUCUAAAAUCCGUCUCUACGUUAGCGGGUUUGUUAUUGUAACUGAAACCCGUUUUGGUUCUCACAGUCCAAUCUCACGACUUGACCUCUGUGACUCUUCCUCCUCCAUUCCUUUCUCCUGUUCCUCCGUUCCCAUUCUAGAUUGGUUACGGACGGAGGCAAAGGCUUCUGUUGGGCUCGCCGGCGGCGCCCACCUAAGAGCCAGCCCCGCUGCUCACCAUUGGCGCAGGGGCCCUGGGGUUGGGGCGUUGCUCGUCGCCUCGCUUGGGGGUGGAGGUGGAAGGGGCGGCUCGUGGUCAACGCUUCACUGGCGACGUCAAGGAAGAUCUGCUCGAGAGGUCAAUUCCUUUGGCAUGACGAGCUUUGGUGACUCCUCUCCAUAGCAACUUGUUGUCUAGGUGGAUUGAUACACAAAAUUUCAGGACAUGUCGAUGAAGGGGGUGCUGGUGAAACUGUGAUUAGGGUCAACACUUAUCACAAGCUAAAAGGCUACUAGAAGAGAACCAUGGUUGGUGGGUUGAUGAAAAAACUUGCCAUCUGUUGCAGCACUGACAGCCAAGCGAGAUGGUGAGAUCAGGAAAGCUGCUCUAAAUACACUUGCAAUUACCUACAAAAACCUUGGUAUGGACCCAUGUUUUUCUUACCAUUUUGAGUAGCUGAUAUUUCAUUUUAUGCUUAUAGCCGCCUUUUUGAUGCAUUUCCAAUUGAACCCUUUAGCUGGUUUACAUUGUUAUGAAUUAAAUGAAACAUUUUCAUUGCAAUUGUUCAUUCUGAAAUGGCUCCUGCACAUUUGGCUGAGCAGCAGCCGUUCUUUGAUUCUGAAAUGGCUCCUACAUGUUUGCCUCUGGCUGAAAUGACUCCAGCCCAAAAUAGAGUAGCUCAACACAGUGAUUCAUGGUUAUUACAGUCUUAGUAUUUACAAGUUUUAGUUCCUGUCUUUGGUGUAAGUCAUGAAGCAUUGUGUUGUAAGUAUGGACCUGUACUUUUUUUAAAUGUCUGCUCUUUGAGAAGUCUAGGCAGAAACCCCAAGAAAGGAUGUCUGCUCUUUUUUAUGUGAGUUUUUCCUUGCAUUCAACUUAGGAAGCUAUAAUUUGGUAUGGAUGCUUUCUUAACUGUGUUGUUUUCAAUGGCAAAUUUGUAGGUACUGAAACAGAGUCUAUGCUCAUGGCAUGUGGUAUUCCAUUUGCUAAAGGUUUUCACUGAGGUAGAUGGUAGGGUGCUACAAACCUCCAAGGUUACUUAUAACUGUUUCUUCCUUAUUUCUUCCCCUUUUGUUUUAAUAGAACUAUAGUAGCAUAAAUCUGUUGUAUUACUUUUUGGUGCAGCUCAAAAGUUAUAAUUGAGAAGUGUAGCGAAAAUGGCCUCUCAUGCCAUAUUUCAAUAUAAUGUUUUGGUGAUUGAUAUAGACAA